GAUCAUGGCUCAGGAUGAACGCUAGCGACAGGCUUAACACAUGCAAGUCGAGGGCAGCAUAAAAGUAGCAAUACUUGGUGGCGACCGGCGCACGGGUGAGUAACGCGUAUGCAACCUACCUAUCAGAGGGGAAUAACCCGGCGAAAGUCGGACUAAUACCGCAUAAAACAGGGGCACCGCAUGGUGAUAUUUGUUAAAGAAAUUCGCUGAUAGAUGGGCAUGCGUUCCAUUAGGUAGUUGGUGAGGUAACGGCUCACCAAGCCGACGAUGGAUAGGGGAACUGAGAGGUUGGUCCCCCACACUGGUACUGAGACACGGACCAGACUCCUACGGGAGGCAGCAGUGAGGAAUAUUGGUCAAUGGGCGAGAGCCUGAACCAGCCAAGUCGCCGUGAAGGAAGAAGGAUCUAUGGUUCGUAAACUUCUUUUGCAGGGGAAUAAAGUGCAGGACGUGUCCUGUUUUGUAUGUACCCUGAGAAUAAGGAUCGGCUAACUCCGUGCCAGCCGCCGC
rnacentral:rRNA from 1 species